rnacentral:rRNA from 1 species
GACGAACGCUGGCGGCGUGCUUAACACAUGCAAGUCGAACGGAAAGGCCCUGCUUGCAGGGUACUCGAGUGGCGAACGGGUGAGUAACACGUGGGUGAUCUGCCCUGCACUUCGGGAUAAGCCUGGGAAACUGGGUCUAAUACCGGAUAGGAGCCAUUUUUAGUGUGAUGGUUGGAAAGUUUUUUCGGUGUAGGAUGAGCUCGCGGCCUAUCAGCUUGUUGGUGGGGUAAUGGCCUACCAAGGCGGCGACGGGUAGCCGGCCUGAGGGGGUGGACGGCCACAUUGGGACUGAGGUACGGCCCAGGCUCCUACGGGAGGCAGCAGUGGGGAAUAUUGCACAAUGGGCGCCAGCCUGAUGCAGCGACGCCGCGUGGGGGAUGACGGCCUUCGGGUUGUAAACUCCUUUCGCUAGGGACGAAGCUUUUUGUGACGGUACCUAGAUAAGAAGCACCGGCUAACUACGUG